rnacentral:rRNA from 1 species
GAUGAACGCUAGCUACAGGCUUAACACAUGCAAGUCGAGGGGCAUCGGGAAGAAAGCUUGCUUUCUUUGCUGGCGACCGGCGCACGGGUGAGUAACACGUAUCCAACCUGCCCUUUACUCGGGGAUAGCCUUUCGAAAGAAAGAUUAAUACCCGAUAGCAUAAUGAUUCCGCAUGGUUUCAUUAUUAAAGGAUUCCGGUAAAGGAUGGGGAUGCGUUCCAUUAGGUUGUUGGUGAGGUAACGGCUCACCAAGCCUUCGAUGGAUAGGGGUUCUGAGAGGAAGGUCCCCCACAUUGGAACUGAGACACGGUCCAAACUCCUACGGGAGGCAGCAGUGAGGAAUAUUGGUCAAUGGGCGGUAGCCUGAACCAGCCAAGUAGCGUGAAGGAUGAAGGCUCUAUGGGUCGUAAACUUCUUUUAUAUAAGAAUAAAGUGCAGUAUGUAUACUGUUUUGUAUGUAUCAUAUGAAUAAGGAUCGGCUAACUCCGUGCCAGCAGCCGCGGUAAUACGGAGGAUCCGAGCGUUAUCCGGAUUUAUUGGGUUUAAAGGGAGCGUAGGUGGACUGGUAAGUCAGUUGUGAAAGUUUGCGGCUCAACCGUAAAAUUGCAGUUGAUACUGUCAGUCUUGAGUACAGUAGAGGUGGGCGGAAUUCGUGGUGUAGCGGUGAAAUGCUUAGAUAUCACGAAGAACUCCGAUUGCGAAGGCAGCUCACUGGACUGCAACUGACACUGAUGCUCGAAAGUGUGGGUAUCAAACAGG